UCUCUCUCUCUCUGAGUGUCGCGGAGCUUGUCGGGGAUGGUGUCGAUAAGGACAAGCUCUUCGAUGAGGUCUUGGGUGAGGAUGGUCUGGGCGAUGGCCAUGCCGCCGUUGCCGGCGCCGAUGACGGAGUCUGGCGGUUGGAUAAGGAGGGCGGUGCGGCGCCUUGGAUGAGUAUGCACCACACAGACACACAUAUGAUUGUCUCAUUGCUCUUGAUUCCUUCUUCAUUCCUUUAAUUCCAUCAAACCCAGUUGGCAACGAUGAACUUUCUAUUUGGAAUCUUAGAGGAGUUUGAUGAAAAGAUGUCCAACAGUAGAAUACGAAUUGACGACGAACUACAGCCAUUUUGUUUGGGGAGUCUUCAUUUUUCUCAUGUCUCCAAUUGAUUGAAACUGGGAAUUGGUCUUUUGGGUACUCACAUUUGCCUGACACGAUAAUCAAAUCUUGAGCGAAGGCAAUUUUGUGGGACGAAUUAGUUUUAUGGAGGGUUAAGAAAGAGCAGGUCUCAAUUCCAUGUUGCCAAUAUUGCCACUGAAGUCAACCUUCUGAAUAGGCACAAACGCCUGUUGCAAAGGAAAGCUAGAGGCCGGUGUGUGAUCAGAUGAAACUAUGUCUUCUGCUAAAUGUGAUUAACCUCAAGAUUGGGGGUGUCAUGAUCAAGGGUGAUAGGGGUACUGGGAAAUGCACAAUUGUUAGGUCCUUCACCGUUUGAUUGGCUCUGGCAAUAUAUGAUUGGCUCUGGCAAUAUAUCCAGAAGAAAGGGAGCUCAGGCCAUAGUUGCUUGACCAUUUUGGUAUGCAUACUCAAGUUGGGACUGUGAGGGAUGCAGAACUGGUAGUGAUGAUUGUCGAGGAGAGAGCUCGGUUUGACAAAAACCCAAAAGAUUUUCAGGUUUCUUACGAAGCUAAGCAAGAUAAGCUUCAGGAACAAAUUACCUCAGCUAGAAGUGGUCUUUUCAUCUGUACAGACUAGAGAUUGGCUAGGAUCUCAUGCUGGAAAUCUCCCAAGUUUGUUCAAAGUUGAAUGUCGACAGACUGAGAGGAGACAAUGACUAAAAGGGUUGCAAAAGUUUUGGCUGCUCUGAAAGGGAAGGGAUAAGUUGACUCCAGAAGAUUUUGCUACUGUCAUCCCUAACUGCUUAGGCCAUCGCGUCUUCGGAAGGAUCCUAUAGAAUUGACUCUGGUACCGUUUACUUGUCAAUAUUACGUAAGUUUUAGCUGAGGGAGGUGCUGAAAGAUCAUUUCUUUUAAGUUUUGCUGGCAAGAUUGUUGUUUUGUUCUUUCUUUUUUCUUAUUCUGGGCGUUAAUCUCAUUUCUGUUUGUUUACAAGAGGACAUUAAUGUCAUGCCAGAUAGUCUUAGACUACUAUGUAACAGUUGAAAAGUUAAUUGUCUAUGUCAUUCAGAAGCUUG